GAGCGGCUUGUACUCCCCGAGGCUUCAACAGAGGGUCUGGAGCUGGGAGCUGCAGGUGGCCAGGAGGCGUUCAGUCCUACAGGAACAGACGGAGGUGACGGAGGCGGUCGUCCUGGUGGUGCUCGUCUGGAGGUCCGUGGCGGUCCUCUGGAGGUGCUCGUCUGGAGGUCCGUGGCGGUCGUCUGGAGGUGCUCGCCGUGAGGUCCGUGGCGGUCGUCUGGAGGCGCUCGCCGUGAGGUCCGUGGCGGUCGUCUGGAGGUGCUCGCCGUGAGGUCCGUGGCGGUCGUCUGGAGGCGCUCGCUGCAGAUGGAGGGAAGGCCGGGAGCUGUGCAGCCCAACGGAUGCAGAACGGUGAGACGCGGAACUGCACAGCUGCACAUUUCUUUCUAGGCUUGGUGAAUUGUUUAGAAUUAAACCUUUGACAUGCAGCCACAGCAGCUUUGAAGUGUUCUGAAAAAUGUCCGCUGCAUUCUCAGCCACUAGGACCAGCUCCAGGAUGUAGGCUAGGUGUGUGUGGCUGGCUGUUGGGUUAAAUAAUGCCUCACUCAAGGCUGCACAGUAGGGCAUCAGGGAGAUCUGUGGGAGCUAAAGCAGAGGAGUUGAUGAUCUGCAUCAUGUACGGGGAGAAAUGUGCAGUGUGCAACUGGAACGUGUCAUUCGCCUUUCAGAAGGACUGAGGCGGAGGCCAGCCUGGAGGCGGAGGCCAGCCUGGAGGCGGCGGUGGCCUGGAGGUCCUGGAGGCGUCCAACCUGGAAGGGGCGGCAUGGAGGGCCAGAAGGGCCUGGAGGCGGCCAACCUGGAAGGCCUGGAGACGGCAGAGGUCCUGGAGGCAACGGCGGGCCUGGAGGCGGAGGCCAACCUGGAGGUCCUGGAGGCGGUGGCAGCGGCCAUCCUGGAGGAGGACAACCUGGAGGUCCUGGAGAGCCUCGAGGCGCCGGCGGCAGCCAUCCUGGAGGCGACGGCGGAGACCAACCUGGAGGGCCUGGAAAGGUGGUACGGACCAACCUGGAGGUCCUGGCGGUGGCGUCCACCUGGCGGCGGCGGCGGCGUCCUGGAGGGCCCGGCGGUGGCGGCGUCCUGGAGGGCCCCGGCGGCGGCGGUGGCGGCGUCCUGGAGGGCCCCGGCGGCGGCGGUGGCGGCGUCCUGGAGGGCCCCGGCGGCGGCGGCGUCCUGGAGGGCCCCGGUGGCGUCCUGGAGGGCCCCGGCGGCGUCCUGGAGGGCCCGGCGGCGGCGGCGUCCUGGAGGGCCCGGCGGCGGCGGCUCCUCAUCCAAAAUGAGGCGACGUUUCGGAGGUCCAGGCGGUCGGCCCGGUGGAGGUCCUGGAGGAGACGGUCCCGGCGGUGGAGGUCCAGGUGGGUGGCCCGGUGGAGGUCCUGGAGGAGACGGUCUCGGCGGUGGAGGACGGCUGGGGGAUCCGGCGGUGGAGGUCCGAAGGCGGCUCGUGAUUAGACCAACCAGCUCCUCAUCCAUGGAAGGUUCAAUAAAGUUGACCUCUCCUUCAGGCGACUUGAAGGGAGACCAGAUGUGCGGCAGCUGGGUGUCGCGGUGCAGAGACCCAACGCUGCACUGAACUACACCAGUGUGUCCUACGCCCCCAUAAACCCUGAGGAUCCCUGGCUACACCAGCACAUUAAUCCACACCCAACAUUAACACGCAGUGCACACUCUAUAGAGUUUGUAAGUCCGCCCCUUGCGGCGGGACCUCGUGAGAUCGUAAGAUAUGACUGGGUUUCAAUGGAGAGAAAGUCAUUAUUUUCUCCAUUAUGUUGCACCACAUUUUGGGGGAAGAAUGUUUGAAUCAAUCUUUGUCAUUUAUUUCCGUACUCCAUAUCUGUAAUCCCAGCUGUUGUAUUUUAACACGGUAGCUGGGAAUCCUCUUUAUAGGGAGCGACUAGAGGGACGAGGCUGGAAGCAAACCUGAGCCUGGCUCUUAACCUUCUUUCUAAACCUAAUGCCGCAAUUUAACCGCAAAUAAAGUGAGGCCUAAAGUAACUUGACUCUCUUACCUAAACUUGCUUGCCUAAACUCGCUUGUCUAAACUCGCUUGCAUAAAAUCUGAACUUGCUUGGCUAAACUCGCGUCACUUGCCUAAUACCUGAACUCGCUUGCCUAAACUCGCUUGCCUAAACUCGCUUGCCUAAACUCGCUUGCCUAAACUCGCUUGCCUAAUACCUGAACUCUCUUGCCUGAACUCUCUUGCCUGAACUCUCUUGCCUGAACUCUCUUGCCUGAACUCUCUUGCCUGAACUCUCUUGCCUGAACUCUCUUGCCUGAACUCUCUUGCCUGAACUCUCUUGCCUGAACUCUCUUGCCUGAACUCGCUUGCCUGAACUCGCUUGCCUGAACUCGCUUGCCUAAACUCGCUUGCCUAAACUCGCUUGCCUAAACUCGCUUGCCUAAACUCGCUUGCCUAAAACCUAACUUGCUCAGCUUGACUCGCUUGCAUAAUAACUGAACUCGCUUGCAUAAAACUUGCUUAGCUUGACUCGCUUGCCUGUACUUGCUUGGCUAAACUCGCUUGCCUAAUACCUGAAGUCGCUUGCCUGAAGUCGCAUGCCUAAUACCUGAAGUCGCUUGCCUAAAACCUAAACUUGCUUGUCCAAACAUGUUACACAAAGUUAACCAUCCAUAAUCUUUAACCCAAACCAGACUUGUCCCUGGGUCGCUCCACUAUAAUUUAGAAGUUUCUUCUUUUACCUCAUCUGCGUUUUGAGUUUCAUUCUUUGAGGGCUUGAAGUGCUUUGGAGGAUAUUUGAACCUUUGUUUGCCGCAUUUGUUCGCCAAAUGUUCAGUGUCCUUUGACGUAAUGUCUAUGGUCUGACGAUAAUCUGACCUCUUCAUGAAGCAGAAUGUGUGUGAAUGUUGUCCCGUGAGCUCCAGGCUCUCAGGAAUACUCCCUGAGUAUUUCAGACCUGUGGUGUUUCACAUGAGACCUUAAUGGGAACUUUUCUUUUUCUGCCUGCAUACGUAAUGCCUACAUUAGUAGGGUGAUCACUGUUGAUCCCAAUAUUGAUCAUUAACCACCUCAUUCUUUUAUGAUUUCUUUCGAUAAGGAUUACAAAUCAUGUAAUUUAUGAGCAUAUUUGCAAAUGGCUCCAAAUAUCAGAUUCUGUAAAAACUAAUGAAAUGUAACCUGCUAGAAAAUAAAACAUCCAAAUAUUAUAAACCUGUUUUGUGUUGCUCUCUUACCAUGUGGAAAUGAAACGCAGAUAGAUAUGUUUAGCUCUGAUUUGCUGCCUCCUUUUGGUGUGGUGCUGGGAUUUGUUUAAUAUAUUAUCAUUUCCAGGAUAAGUUAAUAACCUAGCAUAGCCUACCCGGAAAAGAAGGG
rnacentral:lncRNA from 1 species